rnacentral:rRNA from 1 species
UACGAAGGAUGCGAGCGUUAUCCGGAUUUAUUGGGUGUAAAGGGCGCGUAGGCGGUCAGCACAAGUCAGUUGUGAAAUCUCCGGGCUUAACUCGGAAAGGUCAACUGAUACUGUGCGACUAGAGUGCAGAAGGGGCAACUGGAAUUCUCGGUGUAGCGGUGAAAUGCGUAGAUAUCGAGAGGAACACCUGCGGCGAAGGCGGGUUGCUGGGCUGACACUGACGCUGAUGCGCGAAAGCCAGGGGAGCGAACGGG